AAGCAUUUCCAGCUCCUGUCUUCAGAAAGAUCACCCAUCCUCACCAGAAAUGCCGACUGUGUGUAUGAUUCUGACAACUUUGGGAGGAGGAAUUUGUUUUGCCUCUAUUACCUGUUCUUUGACCCAGGCAAAUGAACUGCUCCCCACCGUCAUCAGGGCAACAGCUUUUGGAAUAAUUGGAGUUUGCGGUAGUUUUGGAGCAGCUGUGGCUCCCCUGUUGAUGACCCUGGAGACAUAUGCUGAACCCUUGCCCUGGAUCAUCUAUGCAGCCUCCUGCAUCUUUGCUGGCCUUGUUGUCUUCCUCCUUCCAGAAACCAGGAAUCAUCAACUGCCUGACUCCCUCCAAGAUAUAGAAAAUGGUUGGAAAGGCUCAAGAAAAACAGAGCUGGAAGAUCCCUCCAUCAAAGUGACACACUUCUAAGGAAUUUCAUAAAUUGGAUACUAAUCAAAAAGCAAGAAAAAGGAACAAAUAUAAAGAUUACUCCAAGACACCAUCAAAAAUUAAAAUAAAUAGAAGCAAAAGAAAUAACAAUUCCAUUUAUAAUGAUGAAUCUAAAUUAUUGUAAACAAGAUACUUUAUGAACCAUAAGAAGUUGAAAGAAACUGUAAUUCUUUGAAACAUGAGAGAAUAUUUGUAUAGUGUAGACACCUAAAAUGUUUCUGAAUAGGGAGAUGGAAUUAGCUUUAAAACAUUUUUCUUUCUGAAUUUAUAGAAAGAGUAUUCUAUGGAAUAAUUACAGUGAAGAACCUGACACCCUUGAAAAAACUUGAAACUUAGUAGUUCCAAAUACAUAUAAAAAUUAAUACCGGUAUGUGAGUCAGCUUUCUGUCUCAGUAACAAAAUACUUGAGUUAAAUCAAGGCAAUGACUUAAAUCAAGGGAAAAUUUAUACUGGCAAAUGGUUUCAGAAGUUUCUUUCCAUGUUUGCUUUGCCCUGUUGCCUUGGGUCUAUGGAAAUGGAAAGUAUAUUGGGCAGUCCAUGGUGGAACAACCUGCUCACCUCAUUGAAGACAAGAAGAAGAGAGAGGAAGUUAUGAGGAUCCCAAUACUUCCUUCAAGGUCAUGCUCCCACUGAUUUAAAUCCCUUCAACCAGGUACAAAUUUCUGAAAUAUUUACCACCUUCCAAUCAUACCACCAGCUGGUGAUAAAGCAUUUCACAGAUAACUUAUUGGGGCACACUUCAGAUCUAAACUUUAACAUUCUGCCCCCAUGCCAAAAAUUUCAUGUGUAUCCCAUAAUGCAAAAUGCACUGAGUUAAUUUCCAAAGACUCCCUUCGUCUUAACAGUUCUAGCAUCUCCAAGACCAAAGUCUCCCCUAAAACUCUUAGCUGUGACUCCCUGUUUAAAAAGCUAUAUUCCAACAAAUAACAUGGGACAGAGGCAGGAGACACAUUCCCAUUUCAAAGGGGGUAAAUAGGUACAUAGAAGGGACCAAAAUUCAUCAGGGUAUAGAUUAAAUCCUGUAAUUCCAUGUAUAGUAUUUCAGACACAGGGUGUGAUGUGAGAUCAAAAGGACUGGAGCAGACCCACCCUGAUGGACUGGAUCAGGUCACGGAUGGCACCUCCCAUGGCAAGUGUUCUGUACUUCUGGACCCUCUAACUUCUCCACAGCAGCUUCACCUUCACUCUCAACAGUUUCACACAUCAUUAUAUCAAGGGAUUUUUGCAGGGCUUCCAACCCCACCACACAUCACCUGGCCUCCCAGACCUUCCUUUGAAAUCUCAGUGGAAGCCUCUGUGACCCACAACUCUUCCCUUCUGCAAGCCUGUGAAACCAGCAUCACCUAGUUGAUACCAAGUUUUGCUGCUAAUGGGAGUUACACCUGAAUGGACUUCAACCAAGCCUGCAUAUGCUUCUGAGUGCCUUCCCAGCUGAUACCAGGAAACAAAUCUCAGGACAGCAAUUGUCUUGCUGGAUGAGGGCACUUUGGGGCUUCCUUCUCAAAGCAGACUUUGAAACGAGUUUAUAUUUUUUAUAUCCUUGAGCCUGGAAUUGAUGGGGCCUUGUCAAUUCCUGAGAAGUCCAAAGGCACCUUUCCUACUGUACUUGGUUUCUUUGGAAUGUCUCUAAUCUCUUGAUCAACUUCUGUCUCCUUGGACACUAUUAAUAUGCUCCUUUGCUUGCCAAACUGCAUGUUUUCAUUUCUCUGCUGAUUUAAACUUACUUCUUCUCACUGUAAACAUGACUGAAGCAGCCAGUAAUACCCAUGAAAAUGUUUGAAAUUUGUGCUGCCUUGAAGUUUCCUCCAUCAUAGCAAUUAGUCCAUGAUCUUUAUUGAGCCUCUCAAACUUUCAGGGCAUGGACAAAAUGUAAAUAAUUUUUCUUUUUUUAGAACAUAAGACAUAUACCCCUUGACCAGUUUCCAAGACAGUUCUCAUUUCUAUCCAAAAACUCAUCAGCAUAGCCAUUGCUGUCCACAGUUCUAUCUGUAUUCUGAUCUUCUAAGCCCCAUUGGAGUCACCUGUUAAGAUUGUUUUUGAAAGUCUAGGGAUUCUGUAACCCAUUUCCCCAAAAUUUUUCAAACUCUUUCCACAAACUUAUUAUAAAGGUUUCUGAACCAUGUCACCUGGUAUAGAUACAACAACAUGUACUCUUAUUAGUACCAAAUUCCUGUGAUUGUCAUCUUCAAUAGUGAGAUCAGUAGUUCCUAACACAAAUUUCCUCUUGAAAAUUUUCCCUGAAGGAGCUUUUCCUACUGAAUAGAAACCAGAUGGAGAGCAAUUGAACACCACCUUCCUGCUCCCAAUUGCUAGGGAAGGACCUGCCCCUCCCUGCUUUCUGCCUUCUUGUUCUGCCAUAUGAACUCUUCUUCUGGCAUGUGGUUUCACUCUGAAGCCAUAUGCAUGAAGGGACACAAAUUGAGGGACACUCACCAGAGUUGAAAUCAUUCAGUUGGAGUUCUCAUUCUCCAAAUCCAUGAGAUAAAUAAAACUCUUUUCCUUAUAAGUCAUGCAGCCUCAGGCAUUUGUGACAUCAGUGGGAAAGAACCAAUACAUUUUCAUGUCCCAAGGCCCAAAUUAUAUACCAUCACCCUUAACAGGUAAUACAUUCCAAAGGGUUUCAUCUUCCACAAAGCAGUAACAUGGCUUUCUUUUACUUGGACUGGGAAGUGUUUGAAAAUCCCAAACAACUGAGUUAACACUUUACUACACAAAACUAGAUCCUGAAUAUUGUUUUUCUAUUUUGGGCUGAAACUACAUAAGGUCAGAAAAUGCUAUAAGUUUCACUCUGAUUUUAUCAUGGUGAUAAAGAUACAUUUGGUAGACAGAAUUAACUGAUUUUGUCUGACUAGGGAUUGUUUAAUUUUUCAAUGAAUAAAAGAAAGAAUUAAGGGCUCAACUCAAAGUAUUUUAUUAGGGUGACUACAAAGAUUGGAGUUUAAUUAACAAAGAUAUCAAGAAAAUUCCCAAGUAAGGGAAGGUAUAUCAAAUUCCUCAAGUAAGGGAAAGUGUAUCAAAAGAAGAUGAAAUCAUUGAUUCCCUGAAAGUGUUCUAGAUACUAUUAACAUCUAUUUUUGUGCUCCCUUUCCUCCAUACUUUUUGGUAAAGUCACGAUUUCAAGAGGCCAAUUGUAGUCUCUUUACUAAGCUUAUAACAGAAGAUCCCAGUAUGACAGGUAUAGACAGUAUAGAUAAUGAGCUAGGUUAGCUUAUUUAUGUGGUAAAAUGAAUAGUAUCCGGUUGCCAGUUUUUUUUGUCCUCCAACAAACCACGAAGAAUACUAUCAAAGGGACAAUGUAAAUAUAAAAUGAGAUACCCCAAAGGUGAGCAUAAAAUUUUAGUCUGUAACUAAAUGAUUUUAUAUCAUGAAGUUCUAUUCUGAGGAAGUCAGGGCAGGAAGAUUCAUACUUCACUAGAACUCUAGAAGCAAAGAUAACAGGUCUCUGAACAGGCUUUAACAGUGUGACACUGCUUAAUAUAUGCAUUCAUUACGCACAAUGGACUCUAUAAUUUUAUGAUAUUCAUAACUGUGGUUAUUAGUGAGAUAGUGCUUAACUGUAUUUCAGUAUUUCAGAGUGGGGUGGCAGGCCUCAUUAGAUUAUUUCAUCAGCCACAACAGAUUUGCCUUAUACCCAGAGCUUUAAAUAAUUCUGUGAACAGCAGGUAAACAAUUUUAAGUUUUUAGUUAGCACCAUCUUCAAAGAUACUACCUGUUUACAAAGCCCUCUCACAUUGGGUUUUUUUAUAUGGCAACACCCAACUCUAUUCUUAGAAGCCCCCAGUUUUCUAGUGAACAAAGGAUGCCAUUGGUGCCCCUUAUCAUUAGGCUCCUCUGCUGCCAUUACUUUCAUGACUAUAGUGCCUCAUUCCCCCAUUGUGGCAUCCUCAGCCAUUUUAUAAAAACUACAUGGCAAUGUUGGGUAACACAUGGUAUCUGGUUGUGCAUUCAUCUCACUAAUACACUUAAUUGUGAUAUUUUCACAUCUGGAUCAUCCCUCACAAUCACUAGAAGUAAAUCCACAUGCAGAAACAUUUAUUUUUAUAAUUCAUUCAGCUGUAUCAAUCACCACCAUUUUUAUGUUUAUUAUUCCAAAAGGACCCAUCCACAAAGUUAUGUAUCAUCCCAUUGUCCAAUCUGAAAAUUAUUUCCAAAUCCACUUAAAGUGAAUUUCACCAUCAUGUGUAUCCACAAGACACUAAUCUUACAAAAAACAAACAAACAAAAAAACCUAUAAGUAAAUAGCAGAAAGAUGAGUAGA